ensembl:lncRNA
AUGUAUUCAGGCUUGUGUUGUACCAGAACCACGCCCAGGGGCACCUGUGCCCAGGCCACGCAGUGUUCAAAAGGCACAGUACCUCCCCGUACUUCCAAGUACCUGCGUGCUGUAAAUACACCGUUAUGCUACAGCAUCGCACCUGCUUACGGAACAACGCCUGCAGUUCACUUGGCUGCUGUCGGACACGCGUCCACGGUCUCACCGUCCAUCCUGCGCUGCUCCCAGGCCGGACCCGCCGCGAGCCGCCCCUCGAGGCGCCGCUCCAUCACCUGCAGCAGCGGCAGCCCCUGCAAAAGCGUUUGCACCCCGAUGGCGGCCUGCAGCAACGGCGGGGCCGUGCGGGCUCCUCUUAAACCCCCGAGUGAACCCGUGGGUGUGUGUGUCUGUGCCCGGAGCUGCCGCCCCGCCCAAAGAAGCCUUGCUGUGUUUACGGGACGAUCCGUUUGCCUGCUGCGCUGUCCCUGAGCACCGCUCUCCCCACCGGGCCUGCUUUGGACACGAGGGUAACGCACGCAGCAGCGGCUCUCUGCGGUCGUACAGUGUUAAAGGUACUUCGUUUCUGUAUUAAGGGCAAAAUGGAGGCACCGGGGGCUCCGGGAACGAGGCGCUGUGCCCGCUGAGGUCCCCGCGGGCCGUGGUUCAGCGCUAGGUGGCGCGCACGGAGCGGCGCUGAGGGGCUGCUCCCCCCAUCACCCCCUGCACGGCCGCCCCGAGGGGCAACUGCGGGCGUCGCUUUGGCGUUUUGUGUUCGGGUUUCCGCCUUGUUUUAAGCAGAACCUUCUGGAGCCUUUCUGCGGCCGGUUUUAGCCCUAAAUUGAGCCCAAUUAUCAAAACGAAGGGCCGCUUUAAGUAACCACCCUGGUGUUGUAUUUAUAUGAAUGAAGAAUUAACCUUAAGAGGUUGCCCUUCUCAGAAAAUGGAUUGCACGCUCGGCUCUCCCUAUUGAUUAGUUUGGGAAUUUAAAGUGCUGUGCUUUAUCUCCCAGCUGCACGCUGAGUUUGUUGCAAUGAUGCUUAAAGGAGCACGUUGACACUGUUUUCCCAAAGCUUUUUGGCAUAGCUCUUGGCCUCUCACUGCUCCUCUGAGCUGCACGGUGUUGUAUGAAGGAGCAGUGAUAACCCUUCUGUGUAAGUAGGCAUGGGGUGGAACGUCUCCGUUGGGCAGAAACACAGAGGGCAGGAGCUGCUGUGUUGCAGAUGUGGGUCAGAUCUAUGGGGCAGGAGCUGCUGUGGGGCUGAUGGGGGUCAGAUCUAUGGGGCAGGAGAUGCUGUGGGGCAGAUGUGCGGUACGUUGUAGCUGGCAGAGUGAGUCUGGCAGUCCUUGAAGGGCUUUUCAGGAGUCUUCCCAUGCAAAAGGACAGUGGGAGAUUUGUCAGGAGAGUUCAUUUCUUCUUGGAGCUGCAGAUAACAGAAGCAUCCCAAUGGCUGCAGAGUGCGUCAGGGCUGGGUGGUGUCAGUGUUGGUCUGGUGGGCCUGUGCCAGGCGCAGAUGGUGCAAUGCCCCACCAUGGCCAGGCCCUGUGAGCAUCACUGGCCUACACUGGGCUCCUGCUGCCCCUGGGCCACGCUCACAGGGGUACCAGCUCUGCCAAGGUGGCUGUUUCCACAGCUGUCAGUCUGUAACCCUCCUUCCACCUCCCUCUCUGGUUUCUCAAGCUUACAGAUCUGUUUUUGGUCUCUGAACAGGCACCCGCCACCCCUUUCCAAACCCAAUAUCCUGCUUGGUGGUGGGAGUAUGCGUGCUGCUUAAAAUCCGCAAACAAAAUGGGAAUGGAAAGGCUUCGGUUUAGUUGAAAAGGACGUUGAAUUCUGCUCGCGAUCUGUAAUGCAAUUAGCGUUAUUUGACUUGGCAGCCUUCGGAGGGCCUGCGUGGGCUGCAGGCUGUGCGGGCCUGGAGACGGCCUCACUCCAGGCAUCAGGGCUGGGGGGAAACGGCGUAAUUCACAUCCCUGGUCCCUCAGUGCAUUUUCUCCUAUCUCCUCUUCCAUCCACCCUUAGUGCUGUGAGGCUGCAGCCCAGCCCCAGCCCCUGGCUGCCUCCACUCGGCACUGCCCCACUGGCAGGAAAACAGCCCUGGGUCAGAACCCACAUCUGUGUUUCUGGGGCUAAAUCAUUCCUUGUAAGGGAAACAGCAUUCGGCUGGCGGAUCUGGCCUGCUAAUUGCUUUAACCGGCUGCAAAGAUUUCAGUCAGUUCUUGAGCUGUCUCUGCAAACUUACAGCGUAGCCUGAUUUUCAGAUCCUGCCCUGCCCACAGCCAGAAUGUAUAAACAAGUCCUGCUGUAGGAAAGCAGCACCAAGUUUUGAGUUAUGCUUGCAGAGGUUAUGAGAGACAGGAAGUUAUGGGCAAAUUGAUUUUGGCGCUGGAAAACCAGGGAUUUCCCCCCCUUCCCCUCAAGUAAUGACUGUAAAGCAUGCUAAUGCUAUUCAACGUUAGUGCAUUAACGAGUGGCCUUAUUAAUUCAAGACAUAAAGGCAACAAAAUAAGCUGUUAAAUUUAAAAUAUAAUACAUACAUAAUGAGAAAAAAUGUGUGAAAGCUUUAUUCAAAUGAAAAUGCAGAAUUGUUUGAGCUAGUGAAGUAUCUUUUGUGCUGAGUUAUGAGCAUAUGUAAUAGAUUUAAUUAUUAAUUUCUCCAUUGUUCUGUGCACACAGACAGGGUUCAAGGCACAGUCAUUCUCGGGCUUUCAUAGAUCUAAUUUGUAUAAUUAUUGCCUGAAUAAAAGAUUGCUCCAAUUCCUAGCUCA